rnacentral:rRNA from 1 species
UGGGGAUUAUUGCACAAUGGGCGCAAGCCUGAUGCAGCCAUGCCGCGUGUAUGAAGAAGGCCUUCGGGUUGUAAAGUACUUUCAGCGGGGAGGAAGGGAGUAAAGUUAAUACCUUUGCUCAUUGACGUUACCCGCAGAAGAAGCACCGGCUAACUCCGUGCCAGCAGCCGCGGUAAUACGGAGGGUGCAAGCGGUAAUCGGAAUUACUGGGCGUAAAGCGCACGCAGGCGGUUUGUUAAGUCAGAUGUGAAAUCCCCGGGCUCAACCUGGGAACUGCAUUCGAAACUGGCAGGCUAGAGUCUUGUAGAGGGGGGUAGAAUUCCAGGUGGAGCAGUGAAAUGCGGAGAGAUCUGGAGGAAUACCGGUGGCGAAGGCGGCCCCCUGGACAAAGACUGACGCUCAGGUGCGAAAGAGGGGGGAGCAAACAGG